rnacentral:misc_RNA from 1 species
CCGAGUUUACAACUCCCAAACCCCUGUGAACAUACCUUUUGUUGCUUCGGCGGGAUCGCCCCGGCUGCCCUGCGCGCCGGAUCAGGCCCCCGCCGUAAGACCCAAAACUCUGUUUUUAUAGUUAUUCUUCUGAGUGGCUUUAAGCAAAAAUAAAUUA